rnacentral:lncRNA from 10 species
AGAAACGGGUUUUCACCAUAUCGCCCAGGCUGGUCUCAAACUCCUGAGUUCAACAGAUCCAUCCACCUUGGCCUCCCAAAGUGCUGGGAUUACAGGAGAAGGAUGACAUAAAAAUCUUCAGGAUGAAUGCUCUAACAGAAAGGUGGGCACGUGCCUAAAUGACUCACACAAAGAAGGCUAUGAGGAGCCUUGAGCAUUUGAGAUGGAGUGAGGCCAUGUGGAAGGGGCUGUGGAAGGUUCCAUCUAACAACUUGCUAGGCAGGUUGGGGCAGGAGGAAGUGCUCUGUGAGAGGGGCCUGGGAGAGAAUCAGGAGAACAGGGUACAACAGCUGGUGAGAGUUUUGCUUCUGAUAUAGACAAUGCCUGGAGAGCAAACCAUUACAGCUAAGAGAGAUCUUUAAGUGAAAGAAAAGGAGAAGGCUCCAUUUCAGCUUAUUAGGAACAGAUGACAAUGCAUUGCCAGGCCUUCAAUACAAAAGGUAUUAGACUCAAGAUUCUACAAGAUUCUGUUUGUGCCAGACACUGAUCAGCAGUGCAAAUAUAAAAUGAAUACAAACAGAUCACGCAUCAGAAUGCCAAUCACUUCCUAGUAACACUGAUCAAAAUUUGCAUUAAAUCAACAGAUCUUUCUUUUAAGAGGUGUGUGGCAACAGUAAAGCUUUCUACAUGUUAAACAGAAUGAACAAAACCAACGCAGAGCAGUGACUUCCUGUCAGAGCAGAA